rnacentral:rRNA from 1 species
AGCGAACGCUGGCGGCAGGCUUAACACAUGCAAGUCGAACGCCCCGCAAGGGGAGUGGCAGACGGGUGAGUAACACGUGGGAACGUACCCUUUGGUUCGGAAUAACUUGGGGAAACUCAAGCUAAUACCGGAUAAGCCCUUAUGGGGAAAGGUUUACUGCCGAAGGAUCGGCCCGCGUCUGAUUAGCUAGUUGGUGAGGUAAUGGCUCACCAAGGCGACGAUCAGUAGCUGGUCUGAGAGGAUGAUCAGCCACACGGGGACUGAGACACGGCCCAGACUCCUACGGGAGGCAGCAGUGGGGAAUAUUGGACAAGGGGGGCAACCCUGAUCCAGCCAUGCCGCGUGAGUGAUGAAGGCCUAAGGGUUGUAAAGCUCUUUUACCCGGGACGAUAAUGACUGUACCGGGAGAAUAAGCCCCGGCUAACUUCGUGCCAGCAGCCGCCGUAA